GGCUUUCGUACUUGCUCUUCGCCGUUCCACUUGAACGACGUAUUGUUGCAGUUAGCAGUUAGCCUGUCGUUAACUCAAAAGGCGCAAUGGCUGCUUCGACCUACGAAAAUCUUCGAUUACGAAAGAGCCUCGGGAGCAAAUUAGUUUUGUAAGUCAGGGUUCCACUGGACUGUGGUUUAUGACUGAAUGACUUUUGAACUGAAAUUAAUCUUGAGGUGAGUUGAUUUGCCUUUUUACCGUCACUAAAAGUGAAACACUAAAUGCAUGAAGCCUAACUUGCAUCAUGGCUCUCAGAAGCUGACACAGAUGUAACGCCGUCUGUGCAUUUAAGAAAUAAGUGCUUCAAGUUUUAAAAACAUGUUUAGCGCCUCUUUUCUGUUCGUAUGGGACAUUCUGUGUUGACAGGAUGGCGCCGGGCUCAAUAGUAUAAAUUAGCCUUUAUACAUUUAGUGUUUCAUUGUCUUAUAAUAGUAAUCUGAUAUGUUUUUGUUAAAGCAGCAAGCAACAGAUUAGACAUUUACAGAAACAUGACAAUUAGGUUAAAAACCUAAGGACAGGCGUGUGUGUGUGGGUGGGGGGUUUAAAACUGUGUGAUGUGUGAGAAUUAGUGCUGUGUAAGUGUGAGGAGGCUGCUCCAUCAAAAUGCACCAAAACAGUAACUGAAAUAAAUGCACAUUCUCACUA